rnacentral:rRNA from 1 species
UGGGGAAUAUUGGACAAUGGGGGCAACCCUGAUCCAGCAAUGCCGCGUGUGUGAAGAAGGCCUGAGGGUUGUAAAGCACUUUCAGUGGGGAGGAGAAUUGACAGGUUAAGAGCUAGUUAAUUGGACGUUACCCACAGAAGAAGCACCGGCUAACUCCGUGCCAGCAGCCGCGGUAAUACGGAGGGUGCAAGCGUUAAUCGGAAUUACUGGGCGUAAAGAGUGCGUAGGUGGUUGUAUAAGUUAACUGUGAAAUCCCCGGGCUCAACCUGGGCAGGUCAGUUAAGACUGUAUGACUCGAGUAUGGGAGAGGGUAGUGAAAUUUCCGGUGUAGCGGUGAAAUGCGUAGAGAUCGGAAGGAACACCAGUGGCGAAGGCGGCUGCCUGGCCCAAUACUGACACUGAGGCACGAAAGCGUGGGGAGCAAACAGG